rnacentral:misc_RNA from 1 species
UCUUCUUCCUUCCUAAAUUCUUCUUCUCUGUUAGGGUUUCAAUCAUAACAUUUGGUAGCAGAGAGGGCAAAUUGAGUGGGUAAUUCAUUUUUGUGGAUUGCAACAAUGACUAGAUCUGUUGUAGUUGGUCUUGAGAUGGUUAAGUUGGCAGAAUCGGAGAAGAAGAUAAGAAGUUUCUUGGAUUAGAUGGAGAAAAUGCAGGAGAAAAUUAAUCAGUCAGCUAGGGAUGAUGAUGCAUUGUGAGGGGAUAUUAGAGCCUUUAUGAGCAAAUUGAGUAAGGAUAAGGGAAUAUGAGAUGUUGCUGGAGGAGAUGGUGCUGGAUCUGGAAUUAAAGAAGUGGAGAGCAGGGACUGUUACUUACUCCUCCGUUUAAUCAGCAGUUGAAGGAUCAAGGAAGUUUGGAAAUUGCUAUAACAAUGAAGGAAUGAAUCCUUUCUUGCCUAAAAUUGAAUUA